rnacentral:rRNA from 1 species
CUUAACACAUGCAAGUCGAGCGGAAACGAUGGUAGCUUGCUACCAGGCGUCGAGCGGCGGACGGGUGAGUAAUACUUAGGAAUCUACCUAGUAGUGGGGGAUAGCACGGGGAAACUCGUAUUAAUACCGCAUACGACCUACGGGAGAAAGGGGGCAGUUUACUGCUCUCGCUAUUAGAUGAGCCUAAGUCGGAUUAGCUAGAUGGUGGGGUAAAGGCCUACCAUGGCGACGAUCUGUAGCUGGUCUGAGAGGAUGAUCAGCCACACCGGGACUGAGACACGGCCCGGACUCCUACGGGAGGCAGCAGUGGGGAAUAUUGGACAAUGGGGGAAACCCUGAUCCAGCCAUGCCGCGUGUGUGAAGAAGGCCUUUUGGUUGUAAAGCACUUUAAGCAGUGAAGAAGACUCUUCGGUUAAUACCCGGAGACGAUGACAUUAGCUGCAGAAUAAGCACCGGCUAACUCUGUGCCAGCAGCCGCGGUAAUACAGAGGGUGCAAGCGUUAAUCGGAAUUACUGGGCGUAAAGCGAGCGUAGGUGGCUUGAUAAGUCAGAUGUGAAAUCCCCGGGCUUAACCUGGGAACUGCAUCUGAAACUGUUAGGCUAGAGUAGGUGAGAGGGAAGUAGAAUUUCAGGUGUAGCGGUGAAAUGCGUAGAGAUCUGAAGGAAUACCGAUGGCGAAGGCAGCUUCCUGGCAUCAUACUGACACUGAGGCUCGAAAGCGUGGGUAGCAAACAGGAUUAGAUACCCUGGUAGUCCACGCCGUAAACGAUGUCUACUAGUCGUUGGGUCCCUUGAGGACUUAGUGACGCAGCUAACGCAAUAAGUAGACCGCCUGGGGAGUACGGCCGCAAGGUUAAAACUCAAAUGAAUUGACGGGGGCCCGCACAAGCGGUGGAGCAUGUGGUUUAAUUCGAUGCAACGCGAAGAACCUUACCUGGUCUUGACAUAUCUAGAAUCCUGCAGAGAUGCGGGAGUGCCUUCGGGAAUUAGAAUACAGGUGCUGCAUGGCUGUCGUCACCUCCUGUCCUGAGAUGUUGGGUUAAGUCCCGCAACGAGCGCAACCCUUGUCCUUAGUUACCAGCGGGUUAAGCCGGGAACUCUAAGGAUACUGCCAGUGACAAACUGGAGGAAGGCGGGGACGACGUCAAGUCAUCAUGGCCCUUACGA